CCUACGGGUUGCUGCAGUGGGGAAUAUUGGACAAUGGGCGGAAGCCUGAUCCAGCAAUACCGCGUGUGUGAAGAAGGCUGAGGGUUGUAAAGCACUUUCAAUAGGAAGGAAUACCUAUCCAUUAAUACUGGGUAGACUGACAUUACCUAUACAAGAAGCACCGGCUAACUCCGUGCCAGCAGCCGCGGUAAUACGGAGGGUGCAAGCAUUAAUCGGAAUUACUGGGCAUAAAGCGUGCGAAGGCGGAUCGGAAAGCCCUGGGCUUAACCUGGGAAUGGCAUUUGAUACUGGCGAGCUAGAGUUGAGUAGAGGGGAGUGGAAUUUCAGGUGUAGCGGUGAAAUGCGUAGAGAUCUGAAGGAACACCAGUGGCGAAGGCGACUCCCUGGACUCAAACUGACGCUGAGGUACGAAAGCGUGGGUAGCAAACAGGAUUAGAUACCCGUGUAGUC
rnacentral:rRNA from 1 species